AACGAACGCUGGCGGCAUGCCUAACACAUGCAAGUCGAACGAGACCUUCGGGUCUAGUGGCGCACGGGUGCGUAACGCGUGGGAACCUGCCCUUAGGUUCGGAAUAACUCCCCGAAAGGGGUGCUAAUACCGGAUAAUGUCUUCGGACCAAAGAUUUAUCGCCUUUGGAUGGGCCCGCGUUGGAUUAGCUAGUUGGUAGGGUAAAAGCCUACCAAGGCGACGAUCCAUAGCUGGUCUGAGAGGAUGAUCAGCCACACUGGGACUGAGACACGGCCCAGACUCGUACGGGAGGCAGCAGUGGGGAAUAUUGGACAAUGGGCGAAAGCCUGAUCCAGCAAUGCCGCGUGAGUGAUGAAGGCCGUAGGGUUGUAAAGCUCUUUUACCCGGGAUGAUAAUGACAGUACCGGGAGAAUAAGCACCGGCUAACUCCGUG
rnacentral:rRNA from 1 species